CACCACUUUAAUUUGAUGGAUAAAAAUAAACAUACAAUAUAUUCAAAUAUGGAAUUAAAUGAGGCACUAUUCCAGUUUAAAAUUUUAAAUAAAAUAGGAAAUUAUAUUUUAGUUAGUUGUAACUCGUUUAGGUAAUUUAGGUGCCAGCAACCGCGGUCAUACCUAAUAAGCAUGUUUAUACAUUUAUAUUGAGUUAUAUUUUCGUUUUAAUAAAAAUUAUAAGAUGUAGUGAAAUACUAUGUAGUAUUAAAAUCUUCUUUAAGCUGCUAUAUCCACACCUUUAUAGAAAACUAGGAUUAGAGACCCUACUAUUCUAGGCCUAAAACCCACUUAAUAAGAACUAAAACUAACAAUGGUUCAAACUUAAAAAUUAUGGCGGCUGGACAAAACAUUUAGGGGAACUUACCAUAUAAUUGAUAACCACCAAGCACUAUUCUACUUACUUUAACAAUUUGUAUGCCGUUGUCUUUUGAAACUUAUAAAAAGUCUCAUGUGUAUACAUUAGAAGCUAUAAGUAGACAAAUCAAGGUGCAGUCUAUAAGUAAGAAUUAAGGUGAGUUACAAUAACUAGUUGUUUCAAAAAUAAUUAUGAAAUAUUUAUUGAAGAUGGACUUAAAAGUAAUAGGUUAAAUUUACAAAAAGACUAUAAAUAUGUAUUGUUUAGUGUA
rnacentral:rRNA from 1 species